rnacentral:sRNA from 1 species
GCCAGGUGUAGUGGCACACACCUGUAAUCCCAGCAUCUGGGAGGCUGAGGCAGGAGAAUGGGGAAUCAAAGCCAGUCUCAGCAAUGGGCAAGGUGCUUGGCAACUGAGUGAGACCCUGUCUCUA